rnacentral:misc_RNA from 1 species
GAUGAAGAACGUAGCGAAAUGCGAUAAGUAAUGUGAAUUGCAGAAUUCCGUGAUUCAUCGAAUCUUUGAACGCACAUUGCGCCCCCUGGUAUUCCGGGGGGCAUGCCUGUCCGAGCGUCAUUGCAACCCUCAAGCGCGGCUUGUGUGUUGGGCUUCGUCCCCCCGUGGACGUGCCCGAAAGGCAGUGGCGGCGUCCCGAAUGGUGCCCGAGCGUAUGGGAACUCUCUUCCGCUCGAACCGGCCCAUUCGGCGCUGGUCGAACCCCAAUUUUUUUUUACCGGUUGACCUCGGAUCAGGUAGGGAUACCCGCUGAACUUAAGCAUAUCAAUAAGCGGAGGA